UGCAACUCGACUUCAGGGACAAGUGCUCCGUAGUUUCUACACUCCAGGUCCGCUACCUGAUGAAACUCGACUCUCGGAGGACAAGGAAGACGAGAACAAGGUGCACGAAAGAAAGAGGAUUUCUGCACGGUGAGUAUAACAUUUUUCUACUAUUCAAUGGCAAUUGUGAUUUUAUUCUAUCCAAAAUUUUUGAACUUGUUAUGUUUACAAUAAAUUAUUUCAAUUCAUAUUUCGCCCAAGUCGUAAUUCAGUAGCUAUCAUCGUGCUAGUAAAAUUUCUAUAAUUUUUUCUAAUUUGCUCCUAAUCUUCUUGGUAAAAUCUGUCCAUAAAAAAAUGAUAUUAUUCGUUACACAAUAUUUUUGAUGUAUUAAAAUACUGAAAAUAUUUAUUACUAUUCCAUGUAUAACCCGAGGUCGUUAUCGGGGGGUGUUGGAGGUGGUCUGAGGUGGACAAAAAGGAGGACGAGGAAGACGUGGAGAACAAGGUGGUGGAGGAGGAUGAGGAUUUAUGCUCGGUACAACCCAAAGUGGUUAUCGGUGGUCGUUGGAGGUGGUCGGAGGUGGACGAGGA
rnacentral:lncRNA from 1 species